rfam:Influenza A virus (A/chicken/Taiwan/0305/04(H6N1)) nonstructural protein 2 (NS2) and nonstructural protein 1 (NS1) genes, complete cds.
UUCCAGGACAUACUAAGGAGGAUGUCAAAGAUGCAAUUGGGGUCCUCA